rnacentral:rRNA from 1 species
UACAGAGGUCCCAAGCGUUGUUCGGAUUCCUUGGGCGUAAAGGGUGCGUAGGUGGCGCCGUAAGUCAGGUGUGAAAUCUCGGGGCUUAACUCCGAAACUGCAUUUGAUACUGCGGUGCUUGAGGACUGGAGAGGAGACUGGAAUUUACGGUGUAGCAGUGAAAUGCGUAGAGAUCGUAAGGAAGACCAGUGGCGAAGGCGGGUCUCUGGACAGUUCCUGACACUGAGGCACGAAGGCCAGGGGAGCAAACGGG